rnacentral:rRNA from 1 species
CCUACGGGUGGCAGCAGUGAGGAAUAUUGGUCAAUGGACGCAAGUCUGAACCAGCCAUGCCGCGUGCAGGAAGACGGCUCUAUGAGUUGUAAACUGCUUUUGUACGAGGGUAAACGCAGAUACGCGUAUCUGUCUGCAAGUAUCGUACGAAUAAGGAUCGGCUAACUCCGUGCCAGCAGCCGCGGUAAUACGGAGGGUUCAAGCGUUAUCCGGAUUUAUUGGGUUUAAAGGGUGCGUAGGCGGUCGGAUAAGUUAGAGGUGAAAUCCCGAGGCUCAACUUCGGAAGUGCGUCUGAUACUGUUCGGCUAGAGAGUAGUUGCGGCAGGCGGAAUGUAUGGUGUAGCGGUGAAAUGCUUAGAGAUCAUACAGAACACCGAUUGCGAAGGCAGCUUACCAAGCUACUUCUGACGUUGAGGCACGAAAGCGUGGGGAGCAAACAGGAUUAGAUACCCCGGUAGUC